rnacentral:rRNA from 1 species
UACGGAGGGGGCAAGCGUUGUUCGGAUUUACUGGGCGUAAAGGGCGCGUAGGCGGCGUGACAAGUCACUUGUGAAAUCUCCGGGCUUAACUCGGAACUGCCAAGUGAUACUGUCGUGCUAGAGUGCAGAAGGGGCAAUCGGAAUUCUUGGUGUAGCGGUGAAAUGCGUAGAUAUCAAGAGGAACAUCAGAGGCGAAGGCGGAUUGCUGGGCUGACACUGACGCUGAGGCGCGAAAGCUAGGGUAGCAAACGGG